AGGGGUAUGAGGCUUUAUUCAGGAAGAGCUCAAGAUGGGAGGGGAGCCCCUGGGGUCCCACUCUUGUGGCCUCUUGAUACCAAGGCUCAUGGGACGCUAAAACCUAAUGACUGCAGGCAUCUGAGCUUCCUUGGAGUCAUCUGUGGGGGGCACAGGGGCAGCCUCAGAGUCACCCGUGGGGGGCACAGGGGGGGCCCCGGAGUCACCCGUGGGCGGCACGGGGGCGGUCUCGGAGUCACCCGUGGGGGUCACGGGGGGGGCCCCGGAGUCACCCGUGGGCGGCACGGGGGGGGCGCCGGAUCACCCGUGGGCGGCACGGGGGGGGCCCCGGAGUCACCCGUGGGCGGCACGGGGGGGGCCCCGGAGUCACCCGUGGGCGGCACGGGGGGGGCCCCGGAGUCACCCGUGGGCGGCACGGGGGGGGCCCCGGAGUCACCCGUGGGCGGCACGGGGGGGGCCCCGGAGUCACCCGUGGGCGGCACGGGGGCGGUCUCGGAGUCACCCGUGGGGGGCACGGGAGUGGCCUCGGAGUCCCCUGUGGGGGGCACAGGGGUGGCCUCCUGGUCGGUCACUGUGGGCAGCGCCAGAUAGGUGAGGGUC
rnacentral:lncRNA from 1 species